GUGGGGCUGUGGCUCAGUGGUAGAGUGUCAGCCUAGCAUGUGUGAGGCACUGGGUUCGAUCCUCAGCAUCACA
rnacentral:tRNA from 1 species